CGCUGGCGGCAUGCCUAACGCAUGCAAGUCGAACGAAGCCUUCGGGCUUAGUGGCGCACGGGUGCGUAACGCGUGGGAAUCUGCCCUUGGGUUCGGAAUAACAGUUAGAAAUGACUGCUAAUACCGGAUAAUGUCUUCGGACCAAAGAUUUAUCGCCCAGGGAUGAGCCCGCGUAGGAUUAGCUAGUUGGUGAGGUAAAGGCUCACCAAGGCGACGAUCCUUAGCUGGUCUGAGAGGAUGAUCAGCCACACUGGGACUGAGACACGGCCCAGACUCCUACGGGAGGCAGCAGUGGGGAAUAUUGGACAAUGGGCGAAAGCCUGAUCCAGCAAUGCCGCGUGAGUGAUGAAGGCCUUAGGGUUGUAAAGCUCUUUUACCCGGGAUGAUAAUGACAGUACCGGGAGAAUAAGCCCCGGCUAACUCCGUG
rnacentral:rRNA from 1 species